GUGUGUGGAUUCUCUCGGCUUUCCUGGUACGUUGCUGUGGUAGUCGCUGGAGCAAAAGUUCACGAUGUGAAUCUUCACUUGCUGCCCUGUCUGUCCAAGUGGGAGCUGCAAGCAAGUCCUGCCUCCUAUCCGCCAUCUUAAUCCGUCAACCAGUAAAUGUUUAAAGCCACAAAUCUCAUGCCCCCUCAGUCGCCGCUCUUCAAAAGUCCGUCCUUUCCUGACUUUACGUGGCAGAAAGACAAUCUGCCUUGCAGCAUGUUUAUGGAUAAUAUGGAGCUCCCCUGCAAUGAAUAUGUGAACCCUCUGUUCUUCAGGAUGGCACUUGGGAUGAUGUGGAAGUAAACUCGACUGAGCAAACCACCAUGAAGACUCCUCAGAGGUGAGAUUUUCUUCAAUCAUCCUGACCAAGACUCUUCGUUCUGCACCCCUGGUUCUCUGUACUUGAUCUAUCAUA